GCCUAGCCGUAAAAUUACUCACAUCAGUAAUGCGCCAGGGUAUUACGAGCGCAAGCUUAAAAUCCAAAGGAUUUGACGGUGUCCCACCCACCUAGAGGAGCCUGUUCUAUAAUCGAUGAUCCUCGAUUCACCCCACCACUUCUUGCUCUUUCAGCCUGUAUACCUCCGUCGCAAGCCUACCAUUUGAAUGUCACAAAGUAGGUCUAAUGGGCCCCUCGCCAAUACGUCAGGUCAAGGUGCAGCCCAUGAAGUGGAAAGCAAUGGGCUACAAUUUCUAAAAUAGAACAAACGAAAUACUACAUGAAAAACAGUCAUGAAGGCGGAUUUAGUAGUAAAAGAAGAAUAGCGUGCUUCUUUAAACAAGGCUCUGGGACGUGUACAAACCGCCCGUCACCCUCUUCGACAGCACACCCUCAGUUUUAUAACACUCUCAUUAGCAUCUUAGAAGAGGUAAGUCGUAACAUGGUAAGUGUACUGGAAAGUGCACUUGGUUAAUCAAAGUGUAGCUUAACUAAAGCCUCUCGCUUACACCGAAAAAACAUCUGUUAAACCCAGAUCACUUUGAGCUCAUAAUCUAGCCCACUCCCCUACUUAUACUAAACCCCACUUAACCCAAAUAUACUAAAAACAUUUUAAUUUCUCUAGUAGAGGUGAUCAAAAGACAUCUUGGCGC
rnacentral:misc_RNA from 1 species